rnacentral:rRNA from 1 species
UACGGAGGGGGCUAGCGUUGUUCGGAAUUACUGGGCGUAAAGCGCACGUAGGCGGCUAUUCAAGUCAGAGGUGAAAGCCUGGAGCUCAACUCCAGAACUGCCUUUGAAACUAGAUGGCUAGAAUCAUGGAGAGGUCAGUGGAAUUCCGAGUGUAGAGGUGAAAUUCGUAGAUAUUCGGAAGAACACCAGUGGCGAAGGCGGCUGACUGGACAUGUAUUGACGCUGAGGUGCGGAAGCGUGGGGAGCAAACAGG